UCCUCACCAAUAUUUUCGUUCAAAGCUUCAACUUUUAUCCGAGGAAGAAUCCUCCCAUGGUUGAUUUCAUGAUAUACGAUGUUCCCCAGUGCAUGACACUACAGGAUUUUUGCAAUGUAUGCAAAUUACCUUAUGUUGGGGAUAUUCGUGACCCUCGUCCACGGGACUUGGAGGAUUUCAUUAGUACUAUUGCUGUUGGAGAGGAGAGAGGAGUGUCUCGCG
rnacentral:lncRNA from 1 species